CCUGAGGCUGGAGAGUCGGCUUAAGGGCAAUUGCUACUCUUUCAGAGGACAUGUGUUUGGCUCCCAGCUCCCACACUGUGGCUCACAACCUUCCAUAUAACUAAUUCCAAGGAUCCAAUACUCUUUUCUGACCUCCACGGGCACCAGACACAGGUUUUGAGCUGCAGUCUGAAAGCUUUGGGAGUGAAGCCACCCAGUGGCCAUCAUCAUGUCUUCACUGAAGCUGAUGCUGUUAUGUUGUCUUGACCCGGCUUGUCUUAGCUUUAACCCACGACAGCCAUGAGGUUUGGCCUGAGUGGGGGUGUGUGGACCUGGAAGCUCCCAGCAACCCAAAGGCAAUAAAGAUCAAACACAGGCAUCUUGUCAUCUUCAGAGAGCUCUCAAUUCCAUGUUGUGGAACUAGAGUCAUUUCUUUAUUAGCCAUCUUUUCUGGUGUUUCUUAACCAUCCUGCUAAUACCAUUUCCUUCUUUGUUCCCUCUCUGCUCUGGCCGCUCGCCCCUAACUCCUCACCUUCCAUCCUCACAAGUUACUCACACACCUCUAGAACCUAAGCCCAGGUGAGGGCCUAUUCAGAUGCUUAGGCACAUACAGAUGCAAAUUAGGAGGCAUAUUACCCUGAGGCCAUAGUAAACAAUAGUAGCCCUACUGGCAUUUAACAAUACAAUGGUGAACCGGUGCUUUCUGGUGCUGAUAUUUACAGCAACUAGAGACUGGGACCCAAAAUAUUCCAUAACAGAAAUAUUCAGUCCCCCACAGUAUGUGAAACAUUCUACACAGCUUUGGUUGAGAGGCUGGGUAUGGUGGCACACAUCUUUAAUCCCAGCACUAGGAAAGCAGAGGCAGAGGCAGCACUCUAUGAGUUUGAGCCCAG
rnacentral:lncRNA from 1 species